rnacentral:tRNA from 1 species
GCGGAAGUGUUGGAAUUGGUAGACAAGCAAGAUUAAGGUUCUUGUGGCUGUUAGGUCGUGCGGGUUCAAGUCCCGCCUUCCGCA